rnacentral:rRNA from 1 species
UAGAGAUAGGACGUUCCCCUUCGGGGGACAGAGUGACAGGUGGUGCAUGGUUGUCGUCAGCUCGUGUCGUGAGAUGUUGGGUUAAGUCCCGCAACGAGCGCAACCCUUGAUCUUAGUUGCCAGCAUUCAGUUGGGCACUCUAAGGUGACUGCCGGUGACAAACCGGAGGAAGGUGGGGAUGACGUCAAAUCAUCAUGCCCCUUAUGACCUGGGCUACACACGUGCUACAAUGGAUGGUACAAAGGGCUGCAAGACCGCGAGGUUUAGCCAAUCCCAUAAAACCAUUCUCAGUUCGGAUUGUAGGCUGCAACUCGCCUACAUGAAGCCGGAAUCGCUAGUAAUCGCGGAUCAGCAUGCCGCGGUGAAUACGUUCCCGGGCCUUGUACACACCGCCCGUCACACCACGAGAGUUUGUAACACCCGAAGUCGGUGGGGUAACCGUAAGGAGCCAGCCGCCUAAGGUGGGACAGAUGAUUGGGGUGAAGUCGUAACAAGGUAGCCGUAUCGGAAGGUGCGGCUGGAUCACCUCCUUU